rnacentral:rRNA from 1 species
UACGUAGGGACCAAGCGUUGUUCGGAUUUACUGGGCGUAAAGGGCGCGUAGGCGGCAAUUCAAGUCAUCUGUGAAAUCUCCGGGCUUAACUCGGAACGGUCAGAUGAUACUGCUUUGCUAGAGUGCAGAAGGGGCAAUCGGAAUUCUCGGUGUAGCGGUGAAAUGCGUAGAUAUCGAGAGGAACACCAGAGGUGAAGACGGGUUGCUGGGCUGACACGUGACGCUGAGGCGCGAAGCCAGGGGAGCAAACGGG